UACGUAGGGGGCAAGCGUUAUCCGGAAUUACUGGGUGUAAAGGGAGAGUAGGCGGCAAGGUAAGCGAUAUGUGAAAGUCUUAGGCUUAACCUGAGGAUUGCAUAACGAACUAUCUAGCUAGAGUACAGGAGAGGAAAGCGGAAUUCCUAGUGUAGCGGUGAAAUGCGUAGAUAUUAGGAAGAACACCAGUGGCGAAGGCCGCUUUCUGGACUGAAACUGACGCUGAGGCUCGAAAGCGUGGGGAGCGAACAGG
rnacentral:rRNA from 1 species